UACGGGAGGCAGCAGUAGGGAAUUUUCGUCAAUGGGGGGAACCCUGAACGAGCAAUGCCGCGUGAGUGAGGAAGGUCUUCGGAUCGUAAAGCUCUGUUGUAAGAGAAAAACGGCACUCAUAGGGAAUGAUGAGUGAGUGAUGGUAUCUUACCAGAAAGUCACGGCUAACUACGUGCCAGCAGCCGCGGUAAUACGUAGGUGGCG
rnacentral:rRNA from 1 species